AACGUCAUUUAGGCAUGUUGCAUGGCUUUCUAUGUUCGAUUCAUGUCGGGUUGGCUUAAAACCCGCACGAUGUGCUUUGAAUGCGACGCUGGCCAAUGAAUUGGGUGUUGUGAGCCUUGCGCAACGCUACUGAGGCCAAAUUGCUCGNUGAUCCUCGAUCMAGGCMUGUUGAGUUACCUAGCCUAGCUAGUGACAAGAUGUGCUAAGAACGUGGUGCUGCGGGCCAAGGCAAGCUGACGGGCGACCUGUUGAUUGAUGUCUGAAGUGUGCUUGGUUGCCCAAGCUUGGCUAGCGCUCAAAACGUUAGUACGAUAUACAUUAAUAGGUUUGCAUCGAGGCAUGUUGGUUUCAUUUUUUUCUUUGUUACUUUCGCAUCGUUCGGUGCAUUUUGAGGGUUGUUUUGGCUUUUGGUGGCUUGCCUGRCCUUAUGGUCGGGUGGGUCGCUACUAGUCGGGCGGCUUUCGGGAAUGUCGACCGGGAAGGUGCAUGAGUGGUGUUUGGUUUGUUACGGGUGGUUGGCUGUUUGCUUGCGCAACAACGUCCACGCGGCAUACCUCUUCAGUUUUGCAGCAAGACUCGGUUUGUCUUGAGCAUAUUGUGGGUUUCCUGUGUUGCAUACCUAACCGAUGGUAACGUGCGGGUUUUCAUGAUGUCAUUUUUCGUCAUGCGUCGCUCAUGCGGCGUGGGAUGAACAUGGAAGCGGUCUUUGUGAUCCACAUUGUUGUUGCAUUUGCAACGAUGAUGUGGCCUAUGAUGACUUGCUUGGUCUCUUGUAUACGGUGCCUAAUAUGGGCAUGGGUCUUAUAAGAUCCUCAAUCUGCUCUCGUUAAGCGUUCUCGCUUCUCCAAAACGAUUGUCUGCCAUGUCUUGGCUUGUCCUUGCAUGGUGGGCUACGUCGA
rnacentral:misc_RNA from 1 species